CCCAUAGCCAGGCCUCAGCCUGUCCCCAGCACCAAACUCAGCAAAAUGGGGAAAACAUCCCAAAAAGGCCUGGGAUGGACGGACAGACGGACUGAGGGAUGGAUGGACAGACGGACUGAGGGACGGAUGGAUGGAUGGAUGGAUGGAUGGAUGGAUGGAUGGAUGGAUGGAUGGAUGAAUGGAUGGAUGUGAGUUCAGGUGUGUUCAAGCAGGUUCAGGUGAGUUCAGGUGUUCGCAGGUGUGCUCAGGUGUGCUCAGGUGAGUUCAGGUGUUCACAGGUGAAUUCAGGUGUGCUCAGGUGAGUUCAGGUGUUCACAGCUGUGUUCAGGUGUGUGCAGGUGUGUUCAGGUGUGUUCAGGUGUGCUCAGGUGAGUUCAGGUGUGCUCAGGUGUUCACAGGUGUUCGCAGGUGUGCUCAGGUGCGUUCAGGUGUGCUCAGGUGAGUUCAGGUGUGCUCAGGUGUUCACAGGUGUGCUCAGGUGUGUUCAGGUGUGCUCAGGUGAGUUCAGGUUUUCACAGGUGUGUUCAGGUGUGCUCAGGUGUGCUCAGGUGUGCUCAGGUGUGUUCAGGUGUGCUCAGGUGAGUUCAGGUGUUCUCAGGUGUGCUCAGGUGUGCUCAGGUGUGCUCAGGUGUUCAGGUGAGUUCAGGUGUAUGCAGGUGUGUUCAGGUGAGUUCAGGUGUUCACAGCUGUGUUCAGCUGUGUUCAGGUGUGCUCAGGUGAGUUCAGGUGUGCUCAGGUGAGCUCAGGUGUGCAGGUGGGUCUGACAGGUGCCAGCCCAAGCUCCGUCGGUGCCUCCAGCCCAGACUUGCCCGGCACGAGGGCGGCACACGCCGGGCACGGGGCGGGCGCGGCAGCUGCGCCCGGGACUCGAGCCGGGGUUCGGGAUCCCGGGUUUGGGACCGGAGCGCUCGGGGCUUCCCUCCAGCCGGGCCUCGCGCCGCUGCUCCCCGCCCUAAAUCCCGCCUUAGUCCCGGUUUAUCCGGGAGGAAUUUCCAGAGAUAACCCCGAAGGGUGGGUCCAGACCCUGCAGGACGCCCCCACAGCCCCCCAAGACCACCGAGUCCCCCCAGGGAGCAGAGGGGACCCCCUGAAGCUUUGACAGCCCCACCUGAGCCCCCUGUCCCCAUCGGGGGGACACGGGGAACACGGAGGGACACGGGGGGAUGUGAGGUGAUGGGUGGGGGACGUUUUGGGGAUGGGGGAACUCGGGGGGACACGAGGAGAGGAAACUGGGGGUGCCAGGUGACACGGGAGGGACACAAGGGAGGGACGUGGGGGGGUCACAGGGACAUGGGGGAUGUUUGGGGGCACAGGGGGAAGCCGCGAGGGGGAACACGUCACCCACCGGGAACGCCCGGAAUGUUCCCGAUAAGGCCCAGGGUGGGAGCAGCCCCGACACCCCCGCCCCUCCCCACGCACCCUUCAGGGGUCCCAGGGGGUCCCCAAAGAGGGACGAGGCUGCUGGACCCCGGCAGGGACCCCCUGGGACCCUCGGGUCCGGCACCUCGGGGACCCCGCGGGGAAAGCGGGGACAAAAGGGGGAGAAGAGGCAAAAAGAGGAAGAAAGGGGAAGAUGGAGCAGAACGGGGUAAAAUUUGGCAUAAGUGGGGGAAACAGGAAUGGGGCUAAGCAGAAAAAAACAGAAAAAAUGGGGCGAACGGGAAAUGGGAGAAAAAGGGGAAGGAAUGAGGCAAAAUGGGGAGAAACGGCAGAAAAUGGGGAUAAACUGGCAAAAUUGGGCAGAGAGGGCAAAAAGGGGUAAAUGGGACGGGAAUGGGGUAAAACAGGGCAAGAUCAGGCAAAAGGGUUAACGUGGACAAGAAUAGGACAAAACAAAAAAUAGGGCAAAAAUUAGUAAAACGGGACAAAAUGGGGCAAAAGAGCGAAAUGGGAAGAUUUGGCAUAAAUAGAGUCGAAUGGA